AAAAACGUCACAUCAUAGGCUUUCUGGCGAUAUGAUUGGUUAAGGGAUUUGUGGCGCGAAUUUCUUUUACUACGUGAAGGAAAAAUCAAGAGUUGACGUCUCCCUCCACUAGAGGAAAAACAGCAGGAAGUAUUAUGCAUCGUUGAUCUUGACGUCGUCUAAAGGAGAAACUACUGGAUCAUCUGAGAUGGAGGGAGAGAAGUACGUGCAACUGGGGUGAAAGCAGCCGACUGCUGAUGGCAAAUAUGACCCCAAGGACCAAGAUGGCAUGGGACAUGGAUGGGUUGCUUCUGGAUGAAGAAGACAGUGAUGUGCUACAGGAGGAGAUAAUCUUCCAUCAUCCUCAGCUGGGUAAGCAUGUUUGUGUGUGUGUGUGCGUCCAUCUGGGCGCAAGCACAUUUCUGGUUGUGAACUCCAAUAGCAUUUACACCCCAUCGUCUGCUAGGCUUAGAUGGUCACACACACGCAUGCACACACACACACACACACACACACACACACACACACAACCAUGCCACAGCUGUGACAAUGCACACACCACGGAUCUGGUGUGAAUGUGGCGUUAGUGUAUCACCUUAUGUGUGGGGCAAAUGAUAUGGAUAAUUAUAUAUUGUAUCGAAUUAUAUGCUGUAUGGUUGUUAAAUGUAUUGAAUUUCUUCUAACGUUUAAAUUGUUUAUAUAUAUACAUAUGUGUGUGAAUGUUAGUAUGAAUUGAUGUUUUGUUCACCAUGUAAGAUUUGUUGAUAUUUGUUAUACUGUUGUCUUGUCAUUCUUGUAGUUCUAAUAGUUACUGCAUGUUUGUAAACAUAUGUUUAUGUUAUUUACCUGAAGUUGUUGUUCCUGGUUAUUUAAUCACAUUGUUUAAGACUUUUCUAAAUAAAAUGAUUUAUUUCCCCUUUCGUAAACCUAACACAUGUGCCAGUGUCUCUAUAUUCUUGUUUUCAUAGUAGAAUGAAGCACACAGAGAAGCAGUUACAAUCAGCUAGUCUGCCUUUAUCUGUCCUCCCCACAAUUGAUUUAGCCUCUUCAGAGUACAGUAAGACAUCCCAUAUUGAGCUUGUUUUGAUGGUAAAACAGCUUAUUUUUUUACAUGACCAUUAUAUCUGUAUUUUUAGGUCAGAUGCCAAACCGGGAAAUGAAAACAUUCUACUCUUUAAAAAUUCUACUUGUUACUGUUAUGAGUAAAUUAAUCAUAACUUCUGAACCAAA